GAUGGACGCUGGCGGCGUGCUUAACACAUGCAAGUCGAACGGUGAAGGCGGAGCUUGCUCUGCUGGAUCAGUGGCGAACGGGUGAGUAACACGUGAGCAAUCUGCCCCUGACUCUGGGAUAAGCGCUGGAAACGGCGUCUAAUACUGGAUACGAGCUGCGAAGGCAUCUUCAGCAGCUGGAAAGAACUUCGGUCAGGGAUGAGCUGGCGGCCUAUCAGCUUGUUGGUGAGGUAACGGCUCACCAAGGCGUCGACGGGUAGCCGGCCUGAGAGGGUGACCGGCCACACUGGGACUGAGACACGGCCCAGACUCCUACGGGAGGCAGCAGUGGGGAAUAUUGCACAAUGGGCGAAAGCCUGAUGCAGCAACGCCGCGUGCGGGACGACGGCCUUCGGGUUGUAAACCUCUUUUAGCAGGGAAGAAGCGAAAGUGACGGUACCUGCAGAAAAAGCGCCGGCUAACUACGUG
rnacentral:rRNA from 1 species